rnacentral:rRNA from 1 species
UACAUGGGGUGCAAACGUUGCUCGGAAUUAUUGGGCGUAAAGCGCACGUAGGCGGUCGCUUAAGUCGGAUGUGAAAGCCCUCGGCUCAACUGAGGAAGUGCAUCCGAAACUGAGUGGCUAGAGUAUGGUAGAGGGUCGCGGAAUUCCCGGUGUAGAGGUGAAAUUCGUAGAUAUUGGGAGGAACACCAGUGGCGAAGGCGGCUCACUGGACCGGUACUGACGCUGAUGCGCGAAAGCGUGGGGAGCAAACGGG